GCGGGCAUGGCGGAAUUGGCAGACGCGCAGGUUUUAGGAGCCUGUGGGAAACUGUGUGGGUUCGAGUCCCACUGCCCGCACCA
rnacentral:tRNA from 1 species